GUGAUAGAGCUCAGUGGUAAAGCAUCUGCUUGGCAUGCAGUAGGUUCCAGGUUCAAUCUCAGCAUUACCACU
rnacentral:tRNA from 1 species